rnacentral:rRNA from 1 species
CAUCGRCAUUUCGAAMGCACAUUGCGGUCCGUGGAGAAACAUCCAGGRCCACUCCUGUCCGAGGGCCG